rnacentral:rRNA from 1 species
CCUACGGGAGGCAGCAGUGGGGAAUCUUGCGCAAUGGGCGAAAGCCUGACGCAGCCAUGCCGCGUGAAUGAUGAAGGUCUUAGGAUUGUAAAAUUCUUUCACCGGGGACGAUAAUGACGGUACCCGGAGAAGAAGCCCCGGCUAACUUCGUGCCAGCAGCCGCGGUAAUACGAAGGGGGCUAGCGUUGCUCGGAAUUACUGGGCGUAAAGGGAGCGUAGGCGGAUAGUUUAGUCAGAGGUGAAAGCCCAGGGCUCAACCUUGGAAUUGCCCUUGAUACUGGCUAUCUUGAGUACGGAAGAGGUAUGUGGAACUCCGAGUGUAGAGGUGAAAUUCGUAGAUAUUCGGAAGAACACCAGUGGCGAAGGCGACAUACUGGUCCGUUACUGACGCUGAGGCUCGAAAGCGUGGGGAGCAAACAGGAUUAGAUACCCUGGUAGUCCACGCUGUAAACGAUGAGUGCUAGUUGUCGGCAUGCAUGCAUGUCGGUGACGCAGCUACGCAUAAGACACUCCGCCGUCGGGGAGGUACGGUCGGCGAAGAAGUUAAACGUUAACGUAAAGGUUAAAGUUAGUACGGCGUUGAGACGNGCCGACGGACGACGACGAGGGAGGAGG